UUAUAUCAUAUAUCAUUGUAUAUGGUCUUGUUGGAAAUCACUGAUAGUCAUGGAUGAUUCACGGGUUACACAAGACCUAGAAUCUCUUUGGUUCUAUACCAAUAUGUUGACAACUACAACACAUGAUAAUGUUGUUCCUUCUUUGACUCUUCCUUCUAUCAACCCCAAUGAGCCUCAGAAGAAAACAGAAGAAGAUAGAAUGGAAGUAGUGGAGCUAUCAGAAAAUGUGAAACGUGCUAAGCGUGAUAAGAAGAAAGAAAGAAAAAGGAGGAAGAAGAACAGGUCUAAGG
rnacentral:lncRNA from 1 species